rnacentral:tRNA from 1 species
AGAGAUUUAGGAUAACAAUAUAGACCAAAAGCCUUCAAAGCUUUAAGUAGGAGUGGAAAUCUCCUAAUCUCUG